UUUUGCAGUUUUACAUUUAUAUUAUGGGUAUAUGAUCUUCAGCUGUAAAUUGUUUUCAAAUUUUUUGUAAUAAGAAUGAAGUUUGUCCGUUAGUUUUUUUCCAUAUCUGAAUUAAUCAGUGUUGGCCGCGUACUAGUUGUCAUAUAUAAAUUUUAGUACUUCUUAUGAUGACAAUACAGCAGUUUACUCAAGGAAUGGAGACGCAUGGAUUCACUUAUCUCACACGUGGGAAAGUAUCAACAUCCUACAUUAAUGGACUGGAGGAGGUCGAGAAUAUUGCAGGUUUAAUGCAGUCUACGUAUAAUAGUUACUCAAAAAGGCAGUACGGCAGAUCACUCAAGUCACGCUGAUACAUGAAUUCACAUUUCUCACGCGUGGGAUAGUAUCAACAGCCUACGUUGCAAAUGGACUAGAAGAUGCUGAGAAUAAUACGUGUUAUAUGCAAUAUGGCAGUACGGCAGUUCACUUAAGGAAUUCUGACGCAUGGAUUCACUUAUCUCACACGUGGGAAAGUAUCAACAUCCUAUGUUGCAAAUGGACUAGAAGAUGCUGAGAAUAAUACGUGUUAUAUGCAAUAUGGCAGUACGGCAGUUCACUUAAGGAAUUCUGACGCAUGGAUUCACUUAUCUCACACGUGGGAAAGUAUCAACAUCCUAUGUUGCAAAUGGACUAGAAGAUGCUGAGAAUAAUACGUGUUAUAUGCAAUAUGGCACUACGGCAGAUCACACAAGGCAUGCUGAGACAUGGAUUCACAUUUC